GACGAACGCUGGCGGCGUGCUUAACACAUGCAAGUCGAACGAAGUGGCGAACGGGUGAGUAACGCGUAAUCAACCUGCCCUUCAGAGGGGGACAACAGUUGGAAACGACUGCUAAUACCGCAUACUGAAGGAGGGGAUUGCGUCGGAUUGGCUGGUUGGGGGGGUAACGGCCCACCAAGGCGAAGAUCAGUAGGCGGUCUGAGAGGGUGGACGGCCCCAUUGGGACUGGGGCAAGGGCCAGACUCCUUAGGGAGGGCGGAGGGGGGAAUCUUCCGCAAUGGACGAAAGGCUGACGGAGCAACGCCGCGUUAGUGAUGACGGCCUUCGGGUUGUAAAGCUCUGUUAAUCGGGACGCGGUACCGGAAUAGAAAGCCACGGCUAACUACGUGCCAGCAGCCGCGGUAAUUC
rnacentral:rRNA from 1 species